rnacentral:lncRNA from 1 species
GAUUUUCAAUCCCAAAUGUUCAAUUUCAAAUCCACUCAUAAGCCCAAUGACCAAUUCAAAUUACUUUUUUUUCAAACCAAUCCACUACAACAAAAUUACAACCAUUUUUAAUACAUAGUUUUAAUUCCAUUUAUAACUAUACACAAUCUCAACAUAACAAUCAAUACAAUCCAAUAUUCCAUUAGCAUAUGAUUCACCACACCAGCUUCAUGAGUAACACUCCAAGCAUAUAAACUCUAAGAUUUUAUUAAAUUUCCAAAUGCACAUCUUUGCACCAAUACUAACAACAGCUCAACAUAUCCCACCUGCAUAAUUUGCAUAACAAAGUGAAACAAUGAUUCAGUUACAAAUAUUUCUAACUCAAAAAACCAUCCAAUCUACAAAGUUCAUGACAGAAAACCAACAUGUCUCAUUUACAUUUCAUAACCUACAGAACGCAAGCCUAUUUCCACCCUACAACUGAUAUAACAAGAUAACCGAACCAAUUCCAACUGGAUUAUCCAACUGAAAACAAAAUUAGUGAUAACCAACUAACACUCACUAACCGAAUUCAUUUUAAUUUCCUACCCCCCUAAACCCAACUUCACCCUGCAAGUUUGAUAACAGAGAUCAUCACCUCCUAACUGAUAACAAACUUCUAACAGAACUCCAUUCGAACCAACCUCAUAACCGAAUUCUCAACAAAUUUUGCUAACCUCCUAACAAACUUCUCAAGUUCACUCUCCAACAUUUUUUGAACUUGGCAAUAACAAACUCCUCUAAAGAACUCCAUUCGAACCAACCUCAUAACCGAAUUCUCAACAAAUUUUGCUAACCUCCUAACAAACUUCUCAAGUUCACUCUCCAACAUUUUUUGAACUUGGCAAUAACAAACUCCUCUAACUGACUGAACCAGAAUUCCUAACCGAGUUCAAAGACCCUCAAAGAACCUUGACAACUUCAACUUCUUCACUCUCUAAAUUCCAAAGAUUUCCAACCUCCAACCUCCCUAAACCACUGCUUCUAAAACUCCCUCAUAAUCAUCAUGCCUUCAACCUUGAACCGACAACACCAUCAUUCUGCAGAAAAAAACUUCUGAUUCACACUCAACUAAAAUCCAAAAAACCAACUUUCAAUUCACACAAGAACUACAAUCACCCUGAACCUCACAUUCAGACCUCCAUUUGAAUCUCUCCAACCUUUUCUUCAAUCACUAACAAACCACUCUCUCAACAACCUCAGAUUCACCCCUUCAAUCACGAAGAAAACCCUCUAUAACUUUCAUCCAAAGAACCUCCUCUGACUCAUUCAACAACUUCUUCAAACUCUAAGAACCACCCGGUGAAUCGGAACCCACACUCCCCUCAACAUUCAAUCACUAACAGAAAAAAGGGGGAAAUUGAGGCAUUACGGAGAAAUCAGAAGGAAAAGAGAAAGCUCUGGAAGAUUAAAGACCCUCAUCUGCAUUAAUUUGGAUUCACCAUAAACAUUUCAAUUGGAGACCUCUAUGCUUCGCCAUCUGUCAUCGUGAAUCCUCUAACGAACAAUUGGUGAAGAGAUCGAUUCACUGCUUCAACCUUCAUCUUACAAUGCUUCAGUCCUAGUCUUCAAUAACACGGUGCAAGUCAGAAUCGGACAACAACAACAACGCAGCGACGGUGAUACGAAUUGAAGAAUCGAGACUGAGAUUUACGUUGAGUUCACGUUGACUCACGCGUCCACCGAAGGAGAUCCAACACAUAUAGUGAGUCGUUCUUUUUCCAUGUUUGAAUGAAGCGUUUUCUUCUUUCUCGUUUGAACGCGAAGCCAAAUCGUGAUGAAUGUUCAGGUUUCAAAUCCGUUUGUUGAAGUUUUGGAGAAUUGGGCUUUUUGUGCUCAAAGGGGUUUCAUGGCCCAAGUGUAUUUCUUGAUCCAUACCCGCUGCACCUGGUCACACCCUAUAACAUAUGUUCAUGAUUUAAUCUCGCUAAUCC